rnacentral:rRNA from 1 species
UCUUAACACAUAGCAAGUCGAACGGAAAGGCCCCACACCUUGGUGUGGGGUACUCGAGUGGCGAACGGGUGAGUAACACGUGGGUGAUCUGCCGUGCACUUUGGGAUAAGCCUGGGAAACUGGGUCUAAUACCGGAUAGGACCAUGCUCUAGGGGUGUGGUGGAAAGAUGCAAUUUUUGUGUUGUUUCUGUGCAUGAUGAGCCCCCCGGCCUAUCAGCUUGUUGGUGGGGUAAUGGCCUACCAAGGCGGCGACAGGUAUCCCGGCCUGAGAGGGUGGACCGCCACAUUGGGACUUGAGACACCGGGCCAACUCUUACGGGAGGGCAGCAUGGGGAAUAUUGCACAAUGGGCGCAAGCCUGAUGCACCGACACCGCGUGCGGGGAUGGACGGCCUUCGGGUUGUAAACCCCUUUCGCUGGGGACGAAGCCACUGGUUUGUUCUGGUGGUGACGGUACCUGGAUAAGAAGCACCGGCUAACUACGUGCCAGCAGCCGCAGGUAAUACGUUAGGGUGCGAGCGUUGUCCGGAUUUACUCGGGCGUAAAGAGCUCGUAGGUGGUGUGUCGCGUCGUCUGUGAAAUUCCGGGGCUUAACUCCGGGCGUGCAGGCGAUACGGGCAUUACUGGAGUGCUGUAAGGGUAACUGGAAUUCCUGGUGUAGCGGUGAAAUGCGCAGAUAUCAGGAGGAACACCGAUGGCGAAGGCAGGUUACUGGGCAAGUUACUUGACGCCUGAGGAGCGAAAGCAUGGGUAGCGAACAGGAUUAGAUACCCUGGUAGUCCAUGCUGUAAACGGUGGGCGCUAGGUGUGGGGACCCUUUUUGGUGGUUUCUGUGCCGUAGCUAACGCAUUA